GAGCUGAAAUCAGUCGAAGAUACCAGCUGGCUGCAACUGUUUAUUAAAAACACAGCACUGUGCAAACACGAAAGUGGACGUAUACGGUGUGACGCCUGCCCGGUGCCGGAAGGUUAAUUGAUGGGGUUAUCCGUAAGGAGAAGCUCUUGAUCGAAGCCCCGGUAAACGGCGGCCGUAACUAUAACGGUCCUAAGGUAGCGAAAUUCCUUGUCGGGUAAGUUCCGACCUGCACGAAUGGCGUAAUGAUGGCCAGGCUGUCUCCACCCGAGACUCAGUGAAAUUGAACUCGCUGUGAAGAUGCAGUGUACCCGCGGCAAGACGGAAAGACCCCGUGAACCUUUACUAUAGCUUGACACUGAACAUUGGUCCUUGAUGUGCAGGAUAGGUGGGAGGCUUUGAAGCGCGGACGCCAGUUCGUGUGGAGCCAUCCUUGAAAUACCACCCUUUAAUGGCUGGUGUUCUAACGUAGACCCGUGAUCCGGGUUGCGGACAGUGUCUGGUGGGUAGUUUGACUGGGGCGGUCUCCUCCUAAAGAGUAACGGAGGAGCACGAAGGUUAGCUAAUCCUGGUCGGACAUCAGGAGGUUAGUGCAAAGGCAUAAGCUAGCUUGACUGCGAGCGUGACGGCGCGAGCAGGUGCGAAAGCAGGUCUUAGUGAUCCGGUGGUUCUGAAUGGAAGGGCCAUCGCUCAACGGAUAAAAGGUACUCCGGGGAUAACAGGCUGAUACCGCCCAAGAGUUCAUAUCGACGGCGGUGUUUGGCACCUCGAUGUCGGCUCA
rnacentral:rRNA from 1 species